ensembl:snRNA U12 U12 minor spliceosomal RNA
AUGCCUUAAACUUAUCAGUAAGGAAAAUGAGUUGAGGUGAUAUCUGAAUCCUCACUGCUAAUGUGAGAUGAAUUUUUGAGUGGGUAAAGGUUGCUCCUAAGGUGACCUCCCCC